GACAGAGGUGCCGAGCGUUAGGCGGAAUCACUGGGCUUAAAGCGUGUGUAGGCGGGUCGGUAAGUGUCUUGUGAAAUCCCACCGCUCAACGGUGGAACUGCUGGGCAUACUGGCGAUCUUGAGCCACCUAGGGGCAGACGGAACAAGCGGUGGAGCGGUGAAAUGCGUAGAUAUCGCUUGGAACGCCGACGGUGAAAACAGUCUGCUGGGGGUGUGCUGACGCUGAGACACGAAAGCCAGGGGAGCGAACGGG
rnacentral:rRNA from 1 species